ACACAAAUAGCUCAGUUGCUAGAGCAUGACACUCUUAAUCUCAGGCUCAUGGGUUUGAGCCCUGCGUUGGGUA